CCUACGGGUGACAGCAGUGAGGAAUAUUGGUCAAUGGGCUUACGCCUGAACCAGCCAAGUCGCGUGAGGGAAGACUGCCAUAUGGGUUGUAAACCUCUUUUGUCAGGGAGCAACGCCGGCUACGUGUAGCCGGACGGAGAGUACCUGAAGAAAAAGCAGCGGCGAACUCCGUGCCCGCAGCCGCGGUAAUACGGAGGAUGCGAGCGUGAUCAGGAUUGAUGGGGUUGAAAGGGUGCGUAGGCGGACUGCCAAGUCAGCGGGAAAAUCGCCGGGCGCAACCUCGCUCCGCCGGUGAAACGGGCGUUCUUGCGUGGGCGAGCCGUAUGCGGCAUGCGUGGUGUCGCGG
rnacentral:rRNA from 1 species